AGAGGGGGACCUUCGGGCCUCUUGCCAUCAGAUGUGCCCAGAUGGGAUUAGCUUGUUGGUGAGGUAACGGCUCACCAAGGCGACGAUCCCUAGCUGGUCUGAGAGGAUGACCAGCCACACUGGAACUGAGACACGGUCCAGACUCCUACGGGAGGCAGCAGUGGGGAAUAUUGCACAAUGGGCGCAAGCCUGAUGCAGCCAUGCCGCGUGUAUGAAGAAGGCCUUCGGGUUGUAAAGUACUUUCAGCGGGGAGGAAGGUGUUGUGGUUAAUAACCGCAGCAAUUGACGUUACCCGCAGAAGAAGCACCGGCUAACUCCGUGCCAGCAGCCGCGGUAAUACGGAGGGUGCAAGCGUUAAUCGGAAUUAC
rnacentral:rRNA from 1 species